rnacentral:rRNA from 1 species
UACGGGAGGCAGCAGUGGGGAAUAUUGCACAAUGGGCGAAAGCCUGAUGCAGCUAUGCCGCGUGUAUGAAGAAGGCCUUAGGGUUGUAAAGUACUUUCAUCGGGGAGGAAAAACAAAACUAAUAAUUUUAUUUCUUGACGUUACCCGAAAAAGAAGCACCGGCUAACUCCGUGCCAGCAGCCGCGGUAAUACGGAGGGUGCUAGCGUUAAUCAGAAUUACUGGGCGUAAAGAGCACGUAGGUGGUUUUUUAAGUCAGAUGUGAAAUCCCUGGGCUUAACCUAGGAACUGCAUUUUGAAACUGAAAUACUAGAGUAUCGUAGAGGGAGGUAGAAUUCUAGGUGUAGCGGUGAAAUGCGUAGAUAUCUGGAGGAAUACCUGUGGCGAAAGCGGCCUCCUAAACGAAUACUGACACUGAGGUGCGAAAGCGUGGGGA